GCCGUCCGAGGAGGGAUCCCACUCAACCAUCCAACCCGAAGGGAGUUGGGGCGGCCAAGUGCCAACAGAGGAGGGCUCAGGGGCAGCAACUUCACCUGAAAAAGAAGAGCCACAACAAGGCUGAGCUACUAAGCUCAACAAGACUUAACCGACAGGGAGUACGCUACUCCACCACUUCUAGACAUGUAAGGCUUUUUGGCUGAGGGGUUUGUUUGCCAAAAGCGCUAGGUGUAUCCCUACUUUCAAGUUUUAGCUCCGGUUCUGAGUUCAUUAUCCAGUCUAAGUCUGCAACCUAUUCUAAGCAACCAUAGAACCAACCAAAAGGUAUAUACAUCAUCAUCGAGACCAUGUCAUCAUCAGAUUCCUUUAUUACUCAGGGUGACAUAGCGAUCAAGCAGUCUAAAACUGUGAGAGGCAGACGAAUCGAUUCGGGUUUCUUAACCAUGCAUGGCGAACCUAAUCUCACGACAUCCGUGCACCACAAGGGUCGCUUCCUGUGUCGGCUGUCCCCAUCAAUUCCCAAGCACGUGUCAGGUCCAAACUUUCCUUGGCAUGCAAUGCUCCACAGUCCCGGCCUCUACCGUACUGUGACCGCACUUGCACCCACAUGAUGCACCAUGGGAACCUCGUUCCAGGGACAGCAGGGGUAUAAGCCACGCCCUAGUUCAAUCAGGUACUAGGCUUCCCCAUCCCAUACUAGGUAUGAGAUUAGUACUUUCAAACACUUGAUCACGAACACCACCACUGUCAGGCCUUAGCAAGUUUCAUAGACUGACGGGGUGAUCAGCCGACCACCAAAGAGUUACCCAACACCUUGCCCCGUCCAUCGUCCUUAUAGUUGUAGCAGAAGGAAAACAGCCAACUCCUACAACUCGCGAGUGACACGAAAUCACUCAGCUUUUACCGCUUCCUAUUUAAGCAAGCAUCUACUCGGUCCAACAGCUAGUGAUCAGAUCAAGGGAUCUAAGUCAUGCAUCUAUGGUUCUAGACAAAUCCUAUACGUAAAUGCACAAGCAUAAUAAAGAAGGCAUGCGCAAGUUUGGUAAAACACAGGGGAUUCAUGCAUCCGGGGCUUGCCUUCGAACAAGGAGGAGGGAAACUGCUCUUCUGCUUGGAUUGGUUCGGCUUCUGGAGGCGGGAGCUCGACCACACCUUCGUCUUCUCGCGCCGGGUGCAGCUCGUAGAAGCCGUCGGCGAGACGCAGCUCUACACGAAUGCAAUGCAUGGGUUAGCAUUUAGACGGUUAUUUCAACAGCAACACUCGCAAGUUUGAGCCCAGAAACUUGCGGCAAGUUACGGGAGGGUGGGGAGGUUCGCUUGAGUUGGUGGAGAUCAAGAUAUAAGGGUCGGAUGGGAAGUAACUUAUGAUCAGACCCUUAAUCUAGAGGAAUAGAUGUGCUAGGGGUCCUCAGACUUAACGCUGAAAAGUCCCCAAGUUUUACACAUAUACCCUUGGUUCAAGGAAAAAGAUACAGCCGAGCCCUCGGGCGAGGCGGAGAAAGGUCGGCGGAACAGACAGGGUCGGGCGAGACAGAACCGGGGUCGGGCGGAUAGGAGGGGUCGGACGAGAUGAACAAAGGGUCGGUGGCUUACCUUCGUCUUACAGAUGAAGCUUGGGGUCGGGAAAGAACAGGCUUGGGCGGACAGACUAAGGCUUGGGCAGCGGCGAUGAUGCCCGGUGGUACUCCGGUGGCAGCGGUGCUUCUCGUGAACCACAAGCAAGCUCUUGUGUAGCACGGGGAGCAAGAGGCUAGGCGGAUUGAGAGAGCGGUGUGGAGCGGAGUGUUGGAGGUAUGCCCUAGAGGCAAUCAUAGAGAUGAUGAUAUUCCAUUUGUAUCCAUGAUUUGUAUAUUGUGUUCAUUGAAUAUCCAUUAAAGGCUACUUGAAUUGAUUUGCAAUUAUGUGAAUUGUAUGUGAAACUCUUUACUUGUAUGGUUAUUCUAAAGUUGUCCCUAGUCGGAGUUCAUGUGAGGACACACAUGAAUAUUAGACUAGCACAUGUAUUAGUUGAUGACUAUGUUUCACAAGUCAUGGACAUGGAGAUGUUGAACUAAUAAUGUGGACACAUGUGGAGACAUGUGUUAGGACUGACCCAGCACGAGAAGUAGCUCUCUCUUUAAACAACAUAUACGCUUUGUCCUUAGACCUGAGAUUGUCGCAUGUAUUCUAGAUGUGGAUCGACCUACUUAGGGGCUAUCAAACGCUACGCCGUAACAGGGUAGUUAUAAAGGUAGCUUUCGGGUUUGUCAAGAAGCAUGCUAUGAGACAUGGUCAAUCAAGAUGGGAUUUGCCCCUCUCUGAUUGAGAGUGAUAUCUCUGGGCCCCUCGAGUGAUCGAAUCCGAAAAUGCAUGGCCAUGCUACGUACGGUUAAGAGUUAACCUACAAAGGGAUUCCGAAUCACAGGAUCGAGAAAGAGCGGUCGGCUUGAAGCUAGACCAAAUAUCGUGAGGCAAAGGGAAUAGCAUGUAUAUUAUGUUGUGAUGGUUCGUCUGAUAUGAUCUUCGUAUGCGUAUAGGAGUUGGCACGUCUUGCUAGAGGCCGCUACCGACUAUUGGGCCGAGUAGGAGUACUCGGGCCAUGUCUAUACGUAUCCGAACCCAUAGGGUCGCACACUUAAGGGGCUGGAAGCCCAAUUCGGAUCUGAUCCGAGUUGGAUUAGGUUUAGGAGUACUAAUGGGCCUCGGAUCCAGAGGCCCAUCAGAAACCCCUAUAAAUAGAGGGGUGGGGGCGCCCUAGGGUUUUACACCUUUUGGCUGAACACUCUUGCCGCGCCUCCCACGCCCUCGCCUGUUGCAACUCGCGGAUCUAGCAAUCCGGCUUGCGACGCUUCCUCCCUGCACGUGUGGAUACCUUGGAGGUGUUGCGCCUGCAGCACUUGGACGAGCCGCCGACGAGCCACGACGAGCCGACGACGAGCCGCGGCACCGGAGGCGAUCUUGCUGUGCACGUGGACGAGCUGCUGAGGAGCCGCUGGACGUGAUCGACUACGUACGACUACGUUGUUCGACUACGUACGACUACGUGAUCGUCUUCACUGCACCGACGCAUAUCUACAUCUUCCGCACCAGUAGUGCGUCGAGUGGUAAUCCCGUGAUCCUUAUACGGCAGUUCUUCCUGGUUAUACGCGGUAGAAAUUUUGAUUUGCGCUAGCGUAGCCUACCUCGUAUCCCUACACGGAGAGGAGAGUUCCUCAGAACUUAGGCGGUGGUGCUGUGAGCACGAACAGGGAGCAAAGCGGGAGGGCAGCGAUGGUGAAGGGGAACUUUGGUGGGGCUCCGGCAUUCCCUUUUAUAGCUGCGCGGAAGAGAGAAGGGGGAGCGGCGCGAAGGCCGGGGAAGAAACGAUGGAGUGCGCUGCCGGGGCGGCGAUUGAGCGAUGAGGGCGGUAGAGCAAGACUUCGGGGAUGACACCGGUGGUCAUUGGGCACCAGAGGCGGGGCGGCGCGGGCACGGUUUUGCCGGUGGUUGAGAUUUGGCAAAGGCGGGCGUCGUCGUGCGGUGGAUUGAUGGAAGUGACCGCGGGAACGGCGCUAGAAACGAGGGUGCACAGGCGAGAAGACUGGCGGCUGCGGUCGCGCGGGCGAGCGAGGAGCAACAGAUUGUCGGGGCGGAGCUCUGACAGGGCGGGAAAGGAGCUAUCGCUGCCGUGGUCUGGGUUGGCGGAGGAGGAAUCGUCGUGUAGCGUGGACCGGGGCGACGGAAAAGACGGGCGGCAUCGGGCUCUGUAGCCGGGAUCUGGCGAGGUGAUGAUGGGCGCGGGCGGCGAGGAGCUGCAGAAAGGGUAGCAGAGGAGCUUCCGCUGUGAUUGGGGAAGGGGGCGCGAGAAUCCAUCCGGUCGUGGCCGGCGACAAGGCGGAGCGGCGGGCGUCGGAGAAGUCGAGCUACACGGCAAGGGAACUCUGAAGUGGGCAUGCAACUCGAGUGUGUCUGUCGCGGGAGAUCUGGGGGAAAAGAUCUCGUGGGUCCACCGGUCAAUCUUGGUGGUCCACUGCCCAGAUUGAAGGGGAGGCGUUGUGGAAGGACUUAGAAAGAUCCGGCGGGUGAGUUGGGGUCGGCGGGGUCGAAACUGGGGAAAACGGCGAGGGGUCGGAUCACAGGGGUCGGGACCGAACUGGAGGUUGAGCACUUAGACUUGGUAAAGCUAAGAUAGGGGAUCAGGGACUUGGAUUAAGAUUAACGUGAAGGAUUUUUAACCGAGGUCGUUACAGCCUACCCCCCUUAAAAAGAAUCUCGUCCCGAGAUUCGGAUGUAGAAGUAACCGGUGGGGGUGUGUAGCCCUUACCUCCUUGGUUGGGGAGGAAACCUGGGAAAAGUUUGUUCAAGUACUCUUCUGUUUCCCACGUUGCUUCAUCCUCGGUGUGGUUUCUCUAGAGGAUCUUGUACAUUUUAACCACUUGGCGUCGGGUGCGCCUCUCCUUCUGGUCCAGCACCUUGGCCGGGUACUCUGCAUAGGUUAGGUCAGGCUCGGUCUGAAACUGCUCCUGUUCUAAGAUUUCGGCUGGGACAUGGACACAUUUCUUCAGUUGAGACACAUGGAAAACAUCAUGUAUGGCCGAUAGCUAUUCUGGGAGUUGGAUCCGGUAAGCGACUGGUCCAUAAAUUUCCACAAUCUCAUAUGGGCCAAUGUAACGGGGAGCUAAUUUUCCUUUUACUCCAAACCGUUGUACUCCUUUUGUCGGGGAGACCCGAAGAUACACAUGGUCACCAAUGUCAAACUGUAGGGGCCUUCUUCUCCUGUCGGAGUAACUCUUCUGUCGGGAUUGGGCAGCCUUGAGAUUUGCUUGAAUUACCUUCACUUGCUCUUCGGCCUCUACCACUAAGUCAAGACAAUAGAUUUGUCUCUCUCCAGCUUGGGACCAAUUCAAUGGUGUCCGGCAUCUUCGCCCAUACAAUGCUUCAAACGGUGCCAUCUUCAAACUGGCUUGGUAGCUAUUGUUGUAGUAGAACUCCGCCAAUGGCAAACACUUGUCCCAAUUUUUGUCAUAGUGGAUGACACAAGCUCUCAACAUGUCUUCAAGGAUCUGAUUUACCCUUUCGGUUUGACCGUCGGUUUGAGAAUGAUAGGUUGAGCUACGGAUGAGUUUUGUGCCCAUGGAUGCUUGUAGCUGUUCCCAAAAGCGUGCUACAAACUGAACUCCUCGAUCAGAGAUGAUGGUCUUAGACACACCGUGUAAGGAAACUAUGCGGUCAAGAUACAACUCCGCAUACUGCUUGACCGUGUGGGUGGUGUGGACAGGAAGGAAGUGGGCGGUUUUGGUCAGACGGUCCACUAUAACCCAAAUGGAGUCAUGUCACUGUGAUGAAAGGGGCAGUCCAACAAUGAAAUCCAUGCUGAUAUCUUCCCAUUUCCAAGAGGGAAUAGGUAGGGGCUGCAGAGUACCUGCUACUUUUAGAUGACUGGUCUUGACGCGUUGGCAGGUGUCACACUCUGAAACAUACCGGGCAAUUUCCGGCUUCAUUCCACUCCACCAGAAGGUUUGACGGAGGUCAUGGUACAUCUUAUUGCUGCCAGAAUGGAGUGAGAACUUAGAGAUAUGUUCUUCAUCUAGGAUUUGCUUUCUCAGAUUAGGGUCGGCUAGGACUACCAGUCGGUUUCCAUAAUACACUCUCCCAGUCUCAUCCUGCCGAAACUGCUUAUACCCUUCAUCCUUCAAGAAAUCUUCCUUGUGAUUCGCCUGACUUCCUCAUCCACUAAUUGUGCUGAUCUUAUUUGGUCUUCCAAAACAGACUCAAGAGCGAUGUGGCCGAGGGUUCCAUGGGAAACAAUUUCCAAACUGAGUUUUCCCAUCUCAUGACACAAAGUCUCGGUGAAGGUUGUUGCCGACAAGCAGUUGCAAGAGGUCUUGCGGCUAAGAGCAUCGGCUACCACAUUGGCCUUGCCGGGGUGAUAGUGCACUUCCAAAUCAUAGUCCUUUACUAACUCUAACCAUCUCCUUUGGCGCAUGUUGAGGUCGGCUUGGGUGAAGAUGUACUUGAGGCUCUUGUGGUCGGUGUAGAUGUUGCAGUGAGUGCCCAUCAGAUAGUGUCUCCAUAUCUUUAAGGCAUGAAUCACUGCUGCCAACUCAAGAUCAUGGGUCGGGUAGUUCAGUUCAUGAGGUCGUAACGCCCGCGAGGCAUAGGCAAUGACUCGGUUGUCUUGCAUAAGAACACACCCAAGUCCAGUGCCAGAGGCAUCACAGUACACGUCAAACGACCUAGAGGGGUCGGGUUGAGCCAAAACCGGGGCUGUGGUCAGCAAGCGCUUUAGGGUCUUGAAGGCUUCUUCACACUUAUUGUUCCAUGCAAAUUUGACCUCUUUCUUCAGCAGCUCAGUCAUCGGCUUAGCUAUCUUGGAGAAGUCUGGUAUGAAACGCCGAUAGUAGCCUGCUAGUCCAAGGAAACUUCGGAUCUGGUGCACUGAGGUGGGAGGCUUCCAGUCCAUGACUUCCUGUACCUUGCUGGGGUCGACGGCUAUGCCAUUCCUAGAGAUAGUGUGUCCCAAGAACUUGACACUAUCUAACCAAAAUUCACACUUGGAGAACUUGGCAUAGAGCUGAUGAUCUCUCAACCAUUGGAGAACUACAUGAAGAUGGUUGGCAUGUUCUUCUUCGCUUUUCGAGUACACCAAGAUAUCAUCAAUGAACACCACUACAAACUUGUCCAACUCGGGCAUUAACACCGAGUUCAUGACAUACAUAAAGUAUGCGGGUGCAUUGGUAAGUCCAAAAGACAUGACCUGGUACUCGUAGAGUCCAUAUCUUGUAGAGAAGGCAGUCUUAGGGAUGUCACAUGGUCGGAUCUUGAUCUGGUGAUAACCUGAACGAAGAUCGAUCUUGGAGAACACUCUAGCUCCAGCUAACUGAUCAAACAAGACAUCAAUGCGGGAGAGUGGGUACUUGUUUUUGAUAGUCACCGCAUUGAGAGGUCGGUAGUCUACACACAUGCGUAGACUGCCGUCCUUCUUCUUCACAAAUAGGGCCGGGCAACUCCAGCGUGAUGCACUGGGUCGGAUGAAACCUUUUCCCAACAGAUCAUGCAACUGUGUCUUCAACUCGGCCAGCUCAGCUGGUGGCAUCCGAUAGGGUCUCUUGGAUAUUGGAGCGGUACCGGGGAUCAACUCUAUGGAAAACUCCACAUCUCUAUUGGGUGGCAUGCUGGGCAAGUCCUCUGGGAACACAUCCGGGUACUCACAAACAACAGGGAGGCUUUCUAGCCGGGCUUCCGAUAGAGGGUACGCAUAGGGAAGUGCGGUCUUAGGACAUUUCAAGGAUAGGGUAGAACUGCCAUGAAAGGGUGAGUUGAUGUGGAGGGUUCGGGCAGCUGGGUCUAGAACCACUUGGUGUCUGGUCAUCCAAUCCAUCCCAAGGAUGAUAUCUAUUCCUUCCAGGUCAAGGAUAACAAGAUUCUCCUUAAAAAGGUUUUGGCCUAGCUAGAUAGGCACAUUGACACUCAUCCUAUUAGAUGUGAUUAUUCCACCCGGGGUGGAUAUCCUAAAAGACCAUCUGGUUUGGCAUUCCUGUAACCCACACUUAUCACGGGUCUUUCUCCCGAUAAAACUAUGUGAAGCUCCUGAGUCGAACAAAACCAAAGCUGAAAAACUAUGAAUCAGAAAGGUACCCGUCAUUAUUGGUGCACCUUCAGGAAGCUCUGCUGCGUGGGUGAAGUUCAGUCGACCUUGGCGAACUUGCAUCUUGGGCCUCUUCCCUUUGUUGAGCAUUGCAUUGCUCUGUCCGGGGCGCUGGCUCUGAUUUCUGGGGCAGUCCUUGGCAAAGUGCCCGACAUCACCGCAGGUGAAGCAGCGGUUACCCGUUGCAGGACGCGGUGGUGACUGCAGAGUUGACCGGGGCGCCUGUGGUUGGAAACCAGGAAAAUGAGGUGCUGCCACUGGCGGGGGUUAGGCGAUCCAUCUUCCCGACUGCUGGGGUCAGCCGGGCGCCUGGGGAGGAACCAUCCGGAACCUUCGAGCAGGCUGGCUCAGAAAUGCCACGGAGGCCUUCCUCUUCUGGUCAGCUUUGAGAGCCUGCAUGCAAUCCUCCUGGGAGAUGGCCAAAUUGACCAACUCGUUGUAGGUGUCCACCUUGAUGGGGUUCAAUCUCUCUCUGAGCUCCAGACUUAGACCUCUGCAGAAUCUGUCCCGCUUCUUCUCAUCUAUGUCCGCAUGAUAGCCGGCAUAACAGCACAGGUCAUUAAAAGCUUGGGCGUAGUGCAGGACGUCUCUGUUUCCCUGGGUAAGAGCCAGGAACUCAUUGAGCUUGCACUCUAGGAGACCAUCCGGAAUGUGAUGCCCCCUGAACACUGUCUUGAACUCGUCCCAGCUGAUGAUAUGGUCGCCUGGCAACAUGGCAUGGUAGUGAUCCCACCAAAGCCGGGCAGAAUCACGUAGCUGCUGAGCUGCAAAUCGGGCCUUGUUGUGGUCGGGGCACUGGGCGGUGAGAAGCUCGAACUUGGAUUCGAUGGUGCGAACCCAGGCGUCUGCGUCGAGCGGGUCUUGAGUCUUCUGGAACAAUGGGGGUUGCAUCCCCAAGAAGUCUUCAUAACGAGCAACAUGAGGUUGCUGCUGAGCCCUUCCACCAUGGGGCUACUAUUGUUGUUGCCACUGUACCAGAUGCCUCAGCAGCUCGGUCUGAGCCGCUAAGAUCGCCUUCAGUGGAGACGGGGGUGGGGGUGGGGGAAGAUCCUGUCUUUGCUCGCUGCUGCUGGGCACAGAGCCAGAUCUGGUGCGAUGCGCCAUCUGCAAGAGUUAACGUUCCAUUAAAUUCCAUGAACUCAGAAGUAUUCCUUAACGGAUAGGGGCGCACAAGUUAAAUCCUCCAAUGCAACUCUUGCCGACAAUGCAACACACGGCCUCAUAAGGGAGAUACACUCUUCCCAUUGUCAUCUUAGUUAGCAUUUAUCUUAGCCCUGCACAUGACUUCGGGCGAACCAUACCCACACUCCAGGAAUUCCAUUAUAUCUGACCUUAAGCCAAGGGGUCGGUUUAGGCGAACAACUCAAGAAAAGGGAUCGGCCAAAACGAACCACACAAAAGGGGUUGGGCGAGGCGGAGAACUGCCUCGAGGGGUCGGGCGCAUCCGACCUCGCGACCCGGGGUCGGCCAAACUUGGACAGACCCACAGAAAAUGGCGUGUGUGGUCACAGUACAAACUCACAUGGUCUGUCAUCCCAAACGUGUGGCAAGGAGUCAAGGGUCAAACUCAGGAUCUAAUUUCACUGGGAUCUUUACAAGGUUGUUCCUACAACACAAGGAAUACUCAACUCAAGGCUAACCUAAUACAGGACUAUCCAAAAUUUAGGCUGCCGAGGAGUACAACAAAAGAAUGGGUUCCCUACAACUCUCCAUCUACGAGGGAACACUGUGAGUUGGAGAAGGGGCGUCGUCCUCUUCAAUGUCCAUGCUGGACGCUUCCUCAACCUCCUCAGGAUCUUCUUGUUCUUCCAGCUGCAUCUGGAGGGCAUGCAUGUCAUCAAGCUCAGCGUGAUGCUCGUCCAGAUGAGCAUUAGCAACUGCCAGCUCCAUUUCUAUUUCCAUCUUUUCUUCUGACAGCUCGAUCAUGCCAUCCACCAAAUCGGCUACUUCUCCUUCAAGCUCGGAGAUUCGGUCCUGCAUGUCGUGGAUUUGGAUGCUUCUUUGGAUGAGCUGAUAUGUUUGGCCCACCAUGUCUCUUCUGGCGGCAUUGAGGUGUCCUUGAGUAUCCACGGCGAUCCGAGCAAGGACAGCCAUGGCCCGUCCUUGGAGCUCAAUCGGCCGAUAUAGGGCUGACAUACACCUGACAUUGGUGGAGAUGGUGACCAUCAAGUGGGAGGUGGCCAACACCUCGAUGUUGCUGACGCGGUCGAGCCACGCCGGGUCUAACCGGUUCCUGGCAGGGAACAGGCCGAUUGGGUCUAGGGUAAUCUCCAGCGGGUGCAGCUGACAGAAUUGAGUGAGGAGUUGUAGAGCAGCUGACUCCCAAGUGUCUUCCAGUGUGUGGCCGUACGUUGAGAUUCCAAACUGGGGCCAGUCGGGCCGUACAGGAGGGGGAGGUACUACUGCCUGCACGUUGCACCUUUGGACGCCUUGCUCCAGGUACAACCGUCCCGCAUACAGAGGUGGAGACUGAUAACUGAACCACCUCAAGGUGUCCCACAAGAUAGCGGGAAAACCCUCGAAGUGCAGACACGUCGAAUGGGAGAUACCAUCUGCGCCAUACAGAAUGUGUCCGGGGGCGGCCAUCUGGAACCAAGAACCAAAACAACGUGAGAUGAGCUCUAAGAGCCAGGGGUCGGACAGAAAAAGCAUCCGGAUUUUAACCGAGAACAAACUAGAAGAACUAGAAAUCCUUAGAACCGAAUAAGAGCUUUUCCGAGCAAGGUUGCUUUUGAGGAGGGUGACCUUACAGAUUUUUAGCUUAUGUCGCAUGCACGGCCUACCUCGUUCUUAACCAAAACAACUGCCAAAACUUGGUCUUACACGGUUAGUGCCGGUGGCAAGGCAACCAGUACGUCUCUCCCUAUAGUAACUAGUCGGUUCUAGCAACGUCUCCUAAGCGAACGUGGUUAGUGUACCUGCAGAAAAUACAACCACACAAACCUUUCGUGCCAGCACCCACGAAAGCGUCCCCAAACAUUACCGUUCACUAUAGGAACGGCACUCAUGCGUUCAAGGCUGCAUGGACAGCACCCAACCAUGGAAAUAGAUCCCCUUGAAUGGAACCAUAUGACCCUUCGCAUACUCGCGAUGCGGAAUCAGCGCACGUAUAAUAGACGUGGCGAGCAACCAUGGUGAUAGGCUCGUUGGAAUCGAACCAUACCAGCCUUCGUAUGGAUUAACAUACGGAACCUGCACACGUAUGAUAAACGUGGGCGAAACAACCGCGAUGAUAGGGUCCUUUGAAUAGAACUCCCUAUCAACCCUCGCAUACUCGUGAUGCGGAACUCGGCACACGUAUCAUACACGUGGCGAAGUGCUGGAGGGUUAGCAAGAUAACCAAAUAAAUAUUAGCCACCUAAAAACAACCCCAAAAUCCCCUAGGGUCUUCCCGUACUAAAGUCAUCCUUAACGAUCGUACGAGAUUUUUCAAGAAGUUUCUUGCAACUUUUAUUUAAAAGAAGUGUGUUAGGGUCUAUUGGGUUCUCUAUCUUGCUAAACCGGCUCUGGUACCAGCUAUGGCGGAUCCACUUCGGAUUUGCUUGAUUAAACAUGAUUAAGCCACCUGAUAUGCGACACUCAUGCCUUAACCAAGUAAACACGAAGUGCCGUCGGAUUUAACCACUUGAACAGGACCGAAUAGCAAACUCACACGAAGGUGAGCGGUUCCAGAGAAUACAAUAAGUCCACCGGUUAACCAACUUAACAAUUUAGAUCAAUUCCGAAAACAACAUCAGAGUUUUACAAGGUUUAUAAGAAAAUAGCAGAAGGUAAAACAACGAGCGGAAGCUACUUCGUCGUGGUCGGAUAUCCCUGGUGAGGCCAACCGGGACGUCAGUGAUCCCUCUCCUUGCCGUCCGAGGAGGGAUCCCACUCAACCGUCCAACCCGGAGGGAGUUGGGGCGGCCAAGUGCCAACAGAGGAGGGCUCAGGGGCAGCAACUUCACCUGAAAAAUAAGAGCCACAACAAGGUUGAGCUACUAAGCUCAACAAGACUUAACCGACAGGGAGUACGCUACUCCACCACUUCUAGACAUGUAAGGCUUUUUGGCUGAGGGGUUUGUUUGCCAAAAGCACUAGGUGUAUCCCUACUUUCAAGUUUU
rnacentral:lncRNA from 1 species